UGGGGAAUAUUGGACAAUGGGCGAAAGCCUGAUCCAGCCAUGCCGCGUGUGUGAAGAAGGUCUUCGGAUUGUAAAGCACUUUAAGUUGGGAGGAAGGGCAUUAACCUAAUACGUUAGUGUUUUGACGUUACCGACAGAAUAAGCACCGGCUAACUCUGUGCCAGCAGCCGCGGUAAUACAGAGGGUGCAAGCGUUAAUCGGAAUUACUGGGCGUAAAGCGCGCGUAGGUGGUUUGUUAAGUUGGAUGUGAAAUCCCCGGGCUCAACCUGGGAACUGCAUUCAAAACUGACUGACUAGAGUAUGGUAGAGGGUGGUGGAAUUUCCUGUGUAGCGGUGAAAUGCGUAGAUAUAGGAAGGAACACCAGUGGCGAAGGCGACCACCUGGACUAAUACUGACACUGAGGUGCGAAAGCGUGGGGAUCAAACA
rnacentral:rRNA from 1 species